rfam:Culex pipiens quinquefasciatus supercont3.339 genomic scaffold, whole genome shotgun sequence.
GGCUCCGUGGCUUAAUGGUUACGGCUUCUGCCUCACAAGCAGAAGGUUCAGGGAUCAAAUCCCGGCCGGUACCU